rnacentral:rRNA from 1 species
UAUUUUCUUUUUUUGGGGGCAAUUUAAGCUGGGUACCGCGAGGUAAUACAAUUAUCUUUUAUUAGACUUAACCAUCUUUAAGGGGGGGAGACGUGGCAAGGCGAAUCGAGAUAACUUUCUUGAUCGUAGGGCCCUGUGCCGACGACGUUUCAAUUGAGUUUCUGCCCUAUCAAUUUGUUGGUAAGGUAUUGGCUUACCAAGGUUGCAACGGGUAACGGGGAAUCAGGGUUCGAUUCCGGAGAGGGAGCCUGAGAAACGGCUACCACAUCCAAGGAAGGCAGCAGGCGCGCAAAUUACCCAAUCUAGACAGUAGGAGGUGGUGAAGAGAAGUACUGAGUGGUGGCCUUUGGUUAUCCACUUGGAAUGAACGUAAUUUAAGCAAUUCGAUGAGUAACUACUGGAGGGCAAGUCCUGGUGCCAACAGCCGCGGUAAUUCCAGC